GAUACCAAAUCAAGAUGUACGUUUAAAAGACGGAACAAAUAAAUAUGAAUUAAUACUGAGAAAAAAGUUUUGUUGUCAUAACAAAAUACCAGUACCCAAAUGAUUUACUGAUGUAGGACAGCAAAUGACUCUGUUGCGGGAACAAAUGAUUUGUUACGUUUGAUUUGCUGUUGUAGCUAUUGAACUCUAAGUGAACAAAUGUGAUUUGUAUCUCAGGCAAUAUAUGUUUCUUAAAAUAACAAAUAAUGAGAAAUGAUUUGCAAUGGUAACUGUUCCAUCUAAGCGAUCCUUGUUUCUGUUUUGGCAACUAAAAGCUUUUUCUCAGUGAAGAAUCGAUAAAGAUCUAGAGAGUUUCCUUAUUUUAAUAUUCCUAUAUAAGCAUCACCCAGCGAGAAGUAGUACAUCGAAUCGACGUCGAAUUAAUGUCGAAUUCAUUAUCGUUUCUCGCUGGAUUAGGUCUACAUUUUAGAGAGACUUUUUCAUCGGCCCGUAGAACUUCUCAGAAAAGUCUCGAGGAGACUUUACUCCGUGAUCGUUCAUCGGUUGUCAAGGAAGCGCAUGGGGUGCUAAAGGAAACGUCUUAACGAUCUCGGAGUUCUUCUUAUCGAUCGCGUGUUUCUCCCACCCAACGACUAUCCGUGUCUUUGUUUGUUCCGACAAGCCUCACUUCCCUCUCGUGGGAAAGCGGCACUGUGCCCAGAGGGUGGAAGAUACGAAAUUCUUGACACAAGUUUAGAUUCCACAAGAGAGGCAUUGUUCUUGAAAGCCGCUGUUCUGCCUCACCCCGGAAGCCGACUUGGCAGGUGGAUCGAUAUCAUCUCCGCUGAUUCCUCCAAGGACGGCGGCAAUUGAGUCACACGCGUCCAAGUCGCGUCAGCGCAUACAGACCUGCAUUCGACGGGCGCGUUUGACAGCGUUCGAUGGGUAUACGAAUGUUGAAUGGGUGACGUCAGCCCCCACAUUCUCUCACGCCUUAAUGGUUAUUAUUGCCGGGAGGCACGCACUCUUAUCCCUCCCCCGAGGGGGGGGGCUCACCAAGACGGAGCACACGCACGCACAUGGGUUCGAGUACCACGAAGGAGGGACGACGAUGUCGACGGAAUGUGCAACGCGGUGCAAGCGCGUUGGAGCGCGUAUAACAAAACAGGGAGUGCCAUUGGCCGAAUUGACCCGCCGAGUCCCCCUGAAUGUUCUUGCGUGCUUGUUCGAAGUACUAAUUGUAAGCGACGUUUCUUCGGAUUCUAAUGAAUUCAAAUGCAUACAAACAAAUUUCCCCCAAAAUAUCUAUUUUUAAUACUGUCUCCUACACUGAGAAAAAAAAAUUGUUGAUUCGUUAAAAUUUUUCAACUAAAUUUAAAUUUUGUCAGCUCAAGAAUUUAUGCAU